rnacentral:lncRNA from 1 species
UAAUUUUCACCGAAUCAUUGAAAUACCUAGAUUUUCAUUAACGAAAUCUCCCGUCCAUCAGGGUUUCCGAGUACACUUCCAAUCCAUUCCAUUCCAUUCCACCGAUUUCAUUGUCAAAUUUUCCCCAAUCUUCAGAUCUGGUCCAGAUCUUUCUAAUCCUUCUAUCGAUCGUCGUCUCAAAAAUUCAAGGAGCUGUAAUUUCAUUCUUCCCACGCAAAUCAUUGAAGAAGAUUCUUGGACCCUGGUUUUUCCUCCGAUCGGAAGAUCAGUGACAAACGAGUCUCCUACAGGUAGAUUUCAUUCCCAAGCUUUUAUCUCUUAAAAUUAUAGAUCACGAAUUUGAACUCUGAAAUUUGGAUCAGAUUAGGUUCGUGCUUUAACUAUUUUCUUCUUAAUCAAUAUUGAUUCGACAGAUACUACUGAGAAACCGAGGAGGUCCUAAAACUGUAAUUGCAAACCAUAUAUGUUUCAAAAUCGAUCUAAAAAAUCAUUUAAAAUGAGUGGAUUACUGAAUUAGCACAUGGAUUUGCUUUUGAUUUCUUUAUUGCAAAAAUUGAACACGAUCCAUUUGCAUUUUCAUAUUCAUAUUCAUUUUUCAUCAUCAAAGGUCGCCCCCGUACCAUUAAAUUCCGAAUGUUAUUUUCCCGUCUCAUUUCGGUCAUAUUUUGCAGAGCGUGUCUCGAGACAAGUCUGUUUCGUCCACAUCUCGUCCUAUUUUACGCUUUCUCACUCCUAUCCGCCCUGUUCCGCACCUCGGCGGUAACUGGAGACAGGGCCCUAUUUUUCAUUUUUUUUGUCCCCGGUCAUAUUUUGAGUGGAGGCAGAGUGAAAAAAUUAUUAAUUUUAAUUAUAUUAUAUUAGAUAUAAGAUUCUUAAGAUUAAAAAAUUAAAAAAUUAAAAAAUUAAAGUAAAAAGUUUAUCCAUUUUAAAUUUUAGGUUUAAUUUUUUAAUUAUUUUUUUUAUAAUUCAUAUUUUUUAAUUUUUUAAUUCCACGCGGGUCGU